ACUCAUCAAAUAGAGUAUUUAGUUAUCCUCAAAAAUAUGUCUUGAGAUUUUCGUGUUUAGGACUUACUCAAGCGCAUAUAUAAAGUUUUUGGUUUAUUUCGCUUUGAAAUUGCCUUUGGUUAGCGUCUGAAUUGGGAAUGGAAUAAUACGCUUCACACGCAACACAUGAGGCAUUCGUCUUUAAGAGAAUUGACAGGCAAAUCUGCCACACUCAUGACACCGAGAAGUACUGGGAAGAAAUUCAGUAACCUAACGGAAUUUCGCAUUCAGAGGGAGUAAAUUCAAGUAGAACAACACCUAAGUGACUCCUUAUUUGUUAUUUGGCAAGGAUACAAGUAAAGAUAGUUAAGCUUUUCGUAAAAGUACAAGUGGGAUCCAAACGUGGUUUGCCUCAAGACAACACAAUAGCUAAAAUCUACUUGAAUUUUUUAAAAAAGUUUUGCAUUCAUAUGUAUAAACGUUUAUUUUUUCUUUGAAUAUAAUUUUACAUUAGAUUAAAAAAAAAACGG
rnacentral:lncRNA from 1 species